CCCGAUCGUGGGGGAUAACUACUCGAAAGAGUGGCUAAUACCGCAUACGAUCUACGGAUGAAAGCAGGGGACCCGCAAGGGCCUUGCGCGGACGGAGCGGCCGAUGGCAGAUUAGGUAGUUGGUGGGAUAAAAGCUUACCAAGCCGACGAUCUGUAGCUGGUCUGAGAGGACGACCAGCCACACUGGGACUGAGACACGGCCCAGACUCCUACGGGAGGCAGCAGUGGGGAAUUUUGGACAAUGGGCGAAAGCCUGAUCAGCAAUGCCGCGUGCAGGAUGAAGGCCUUCG
rnacentral:rRNA from 1 species